AUAUCAAUAAGCGGAGGAAAAGAAACUAACAAGGAUUCCCCUAGUAACUGCGAGUGAAGCGGGAAAAGCUCAAAUUUAAAAUCUGGCGGUCUCUGGCCGUCCGAGUUGUAAUCUAGAGAAGUGUUAUCCGCGCUGGACCGUGUACAAGUCUCCUGGAAUGGAGCGUCAUAGAGGGUGAGAAUCCCGUCUUUGACACGGACUGCCAGGGCUUUGUGAUGCGCUCUCAAAGAGUCGAGUUGUUUGGGAAUGCAGCUCAAAAUGGGUGGUAAAUUCCAUCUAAAGCUAAAUAUUGGCGAGAGACCGAUAGCGAACAAGUACCGUGAGGGAAAGAUGAAAAGAACUUUGGAAAGAGAGUUAAACAGUACGUGAAAUUGCUGAAAGGGAAACGCUUGAAGUCAGUCGCGUUGGCCGGGGAUCAACCUUGCUUUUGCUGGGCGUACUUUCCGGUUGACGGGUCAGCAUCAAUUUUGACCGUUGGAUAAAGUCCAGGGGAAUGUGGCAUCUUCGGAUGUGUUAUAGCCCUUGGUCGCAUACAACGGUUGGGAUUGAGGAACUCAGCACGCCGCAAGGCCGGGUACUUGUACCACGUUCGUGCUUAGGAUGCUGGCAUAAUGGCUUUAAUCGACCCGUCUUGAAACACGGACCAAGGAGUCUAACAUGCCUGCGAGUGUUUGGGUGGAAAACUCGGACGCGUAAUGAAAGUGAAAGUUGAGAUCCCUGUCGUGGGGAGCAUCGACGCCCGGACCAGACCUUUUGUGACGGAUCCGCGGUAGAGCAUGUAUGUUGGGACCCGAAAGAUGGUGAACUAUGCCUGAAUAGGGUGAAGCCAGAGGAAACUCUGGUGGAGGCUCGUAGCGAUUCUGACGUGCAAAUCGAUCGUCAAAUUUGGGUAUAGGGGCGAAAGACUAAU
rnacentral:rRNA from 1 species